rnacentral:tRNA from 1 species
UUCCCAAUAACUCAGUUGGUAAAGAAUUUGCCUGCAAUGCAGGAGACCCCGGUUCGAUUCCUGGGUGGGGAA